rnacentral:rRNA from 1 species
GACGAACCACACGAACGUUAUUCGGAAUUACUGGGCUUAAAGGGUGCGUAGGCGGUGCGGAAAGUUAGGUGUGAAAUCCCCCGGCUCAACCGGGGAAUUGCGCUUAAAACUACCGUGCUAGAGGAAGAUAGAGGUGAGCGGAACUUCGGGUGGAGCGGUGAAAUGCGUUGAUAUCCGAAGGAACACCGGUGGCGAAAGCGGCUCACUGGAUCUUUUCUGACGCUGAUGCACGAAAGCUAGGGGAGCAAACGGG